GUUUUCAUUCUGUUUUAGUAUUGCUUCACACUCAGAGCUUCACAAAUAGAGGAAGCCCAGGUCACUCUCCCUCUUGGAGAAGACCUGUUCUGCCACAGGCACAAGGGGCCAGAAGCAAACACCCCAAAUAAUGUAAAAAGAGCUUCUACAGUGAAAAAAAAAAAAAAAAACAGAAGAGGAAACGUCCUCCUUUAAAACACAAAAGCAGCGCCUGGCUCUAGAAUGUGCCACAUCAGGAUGUGUCUGGGUGGAGACCUCAGCAGGCUGGCACCAGGGCUGGACAGAAAAAAUACAGCUGGACCCUACUCCAGCGUGUCACAGAAAGGCCAGUGGCGACGCCUGCCCCACGUUGCCCUUCUAGAUACCUACUGACCACUCUGGGCCUCCGAGGGAUCAGCGAUGGAGAGGUCCUGAUAGUUCCCCUAAUGGACUUUCUCUCCUGCCUCUCUGCCUUUACUGUUCCCUUGGCCCGAAACUGCCACAUCUCAAAUAUGCCUGCCUCACAAACAUGCCCUUUACACCUCAGCUCAGUCUUCACCUCCUCCAUGAAGCUUUCUCUUAUUCUACCAUGAGCUGAUAGUCACCAAAUCCCAUGUAAAGGCUGGAGUCCAUUCCAAUGGGUCAUGGAAUCAUUCUAUCUGGUCAGUCAGUACCAGUGGUAACAUAUCGUGAAAAUCCCCUCUGAUCCCACCUGCCCCCUCCCCACUCUAUGUAUAUUUCCUUUGCUCUAUUAGUGUCUUGUCUUGUCUUUUUUUUUUUUUUUUUUUUUUUGAGACAGAGUCUUGCUCUGUCACCCGGGCUGGAGUGCAAUGUGAUUUCCACUCACUGCAACUUCUGCCUCCCGGGUUCAAGUGAUUCUCCCACUUCAGCCUCCCAAGUAGCUGGGAUUACAGGUGUCCGCCACCAUGCCUGGCUAAUUUUUAUAUUUUUAGUAGAGACAGGAUUUCACUAUGUUGGUCAGGCUGGUCUCGAACUCCUGAUAACUCAGGUGAGCCACUCGCCUCGGCCUCCUAGAGUGCUGGGAUUACAGGCGUGAGCCACCACACCUGGCCUUAUUCUGUAUUUUCAUUAUUGGCUUUUCUUGUCUGUCUCCCCUACCUGACUGUAGGGCUCUGGAGGAAGGUUUGAAUAGCUCAUCUCUGUAGCUACUGAAGGGUAGCUGGCCAGGGCUGGCCACUGAAAGGUAUCAAAAACGAAAAGGGGAAAAGGAGAAGAUGGGUGGAAAAUGAGAAACAUGGGGGAAACAGAGCCGGGGUAUUUUCAGCCCAUGAAGAAGGGGCCACAGGCUAUAAAUCUGUCUUUAUAAACAACCCCCCAGCCAUCUGCCCCCAAAACUUUGGCACAAGAAGUCUCUGCCUUUUCUAUAAAAAAUUCAGCUCAUAUGAAAAUUGUAUAUACAUGUUGAGUAUUAUCUGGGCUUUGCAUUUAGAAAAGAAAAAAAAAACUUUUGCUCUUGCCUGUGUCUGUUUCUUUGUCCAGCCCUUUGAGGCUCUGGUCUGUGAGUGUCUGUGCCAGUGUGCAUGGCUGAGAAUGGAUGCUUUAUGUG
rnacentral:lncRNA from 1 species